GAACUUUAUAGUCUCAGAAAUUGAUUUGAUCCGCGGAGCGGGCUGGAUCCCUAAUCUCAUAAAUUCUACAGAGAAUUUAUCAAUCAAUAACCCAAAGAAGGGGAAAAAAAGGGGAUAUGAUUGGACAAUUUCUGUAAAAAAGAAGGCGUGAUUUGGUAUUAUUAGUGUUUCCAUUUUGAAAAAGAAGCAAAGAGAAUCUGCUAAUUCCGCUCCUUCCAGUUAUCUUCACUAAUUACUAAUAAUUACCCUCUAUAAUUGCUCUUUCAUUUCUCUCAAUUUUUGAAUUUUUCCUCUCUCUUGUUGUAAUUUUUAUUAUAUUGCAAUACAAAGAAGCAGCUCCAAUUCAUCAAAAUGUCCUCCAAAAGUGAUUUCCAAGAAUUUCAAUUCUCAGGUACUCUCUCUCAAGCAAGAAAGAAAGAACUUUCAGAUGAUAGAAACAAGGUUGACAUUCGGUCAAUCAAGACUCUGAAUCCUCAACAUAUGGAUGCUCCCAUUAUACUUCAUUCUAGGAAGAGAGAAACUAUACAAUCUUUAUCGGGUUGUGACUUGCGCAAGAGUUUAGCGUGGGAUAGUGCCUUUUUCACAAGUCCAGGAGUAUUGGAUCCAGAAGAGUUGCUUGAGACUCUUAAUUUUAAAGUAGGGGAUAACGGGGCAGAUAUAACUGGGCAUGUGGAACCAAAGUCUUUACCCUUUGAAUCCACAUUAACACCAACAAAUGUAAUUGAUAGUUUGCGCAAAAGUUUAGCUUGGGAUAGUGCCUUUUUUACAAGUGCAGGAGUUCUGGAUGCUGAGGAGUUGUCUAUCAUAAAUAGAGGAUUUAGAAGGCCAGAAACACUUCCAUUUCCUAGGUUUGAAGAGGAAAUCUGGAGGUCUCCUGAAUCAAAUUCUACCAUAAAUAGUGAUUGUUACUCUCUUGCAAGCCUUGAGAUUGAUCUUUUUGAUGAUAUAAAAGCAUCUAUUCACAAGUCACUUGAUGCUUCAUCCAAUGGGGCAACUUCAACUUGCAAACUGAAAAGAGAAAAAGGAAGGAAAAAUGGCCAUGCUUCAAAAAUACCACAUGUUUCAUCUGGAGUAAAAGUAAGUUUUUGACAUGAUCUUCUUUAACUUGUUAUGAAUAAUAUUUGCUGUGUCACUUUUUAUUGGUAGUGUGGUAUGGGGGACUCACCUAUGCAUCAUCAUCUCAAUUGCUUAUGAUUGAAACUGGCAAUAUUUUAGUUUUAGAGUUCAGAUAGCCAUUAAAGAGGUAUGCUUCUGCUGCUACGCAUUAACCAAGUUGAUGUAUAGGUGAGUCCCAGUAUUAUUAUAUAAUGAAAGGAAUAACUUUUGAGCAUGUCUGAAUUAACAUCAAUUACAUGCUGGUCAAAUAAAGCAUGCUGAUUCAAGUGGAGAAUCCAAACCUUCAUCUUCUCUUAAGCCACUGCAUAUAUCAAGCCGUGCUAUCCCUUCAUCGAUAGUUCCCAGCAAAAGGGCUUCUUUGGGUGCAAAUCAUGUUAAAAUGGAUAAUAAAGCUACAAAAUCUGCCUGCGGAGAAAGUAUGGCCAUGACGAAGAAAAUGUGUUUGCGGGAGUCAUGCAAUAUUAUUUCUAGCUCAAAAGCAUCCACAAAAUCGCCGCCUUCAUUUUUGCCUGCUGCAGAAAGUGAGUUUAUGGGAUUUUGCUCUGCUUCAGCUGAUUUCACUUGUAAAUCUCCUUCAAACCCUCGAAGGAGAACAAUUGAUUCCCGGUUGGAUGCUUGUGGUUCAAGGCUUAGAGCUCCUUUGAUAUACUUGGUUAAAAAUAAAACUGAGUUGGUCAAUUCUAGUGAUUUUAUUUGUUUACCGUCCACAUCCAAUUUGUCCUCUUAUACAUCACCUGCUAGUUCCAUUGAUGGAUGGUCCUCAGAAUCAUCAUCAACAUCUAUCAAGCAGAGAUCAAAUAGUUCUGCUGCUAGUCCUGUAAGUACUCCAUUUAGAGAGAUUUCUUUUGACAUUGGUUCCCCUAAAGCAUCAGAUUCUGAAAGGCAUAGAUAUGGUCAAACCUUGGGGCAUGAAAUUCAGGAAACCAAGCUCUUGAAUCCACAGUUCAACAAUGUCUCAAUGUGUAAAAGUACUGUUUCUCCAAAUAUUUCAAGAAAACCGAGACCUUCAAGUCUUCGAAUGCCAUCACCAAAAAUAGGAUUUUUUGAUGCGGAAAAUUCUGCUGCUUUAGCACAAAAUGGAGGUCUGAAAUUUCACUCUGGUGUACAGGGCGCUUCUUCCAAAAACAGAAGUGGUAUUAACAACGCCAGUGAAUCAGUAAAUAGAACAAGAUAUGGCAAGCAUCGGUUGGCAGGAACCUCAACAGGACCUUCUAGUAAAACAGGUGCGGAGGAUGAGGGGAAUAUCUACUUAAGGGAGAAGAAGCAACCAUUGAAUGAGCAUGAAGAUAUCAGGGUGCAAUGCCCUGAAAAUAAUGUGCAUAGAUUUGGUGAAAAUAACAAGGAAAAUGUAGGUAGUUUGGCAAAUCAAGUUGAUGACCUCAGUCGACGAAUGGAAGCCGUUGAUUUUAGUGGGGACUUUAUUACAGCUUUCAAUUGAAGUAAGGAUCCUUGUUCAUAGUUUGGUAUCAAGAAUAUUUUCAAGCAUGUUGAACUGGUAUCACCGUAUCAUCAUCCUUUAAAGUGUGAGAAUUGAUUGGAAAAUCUGCAAACUUGUGUCCUUUGUAAAGCUUUUCUUUUUCAGUAUGGUCAUUACAUGUAGCACAAGGGCAAGGGCUUGAAUGGCUGUCAAAAAGUUACAUCUCCAACUGAGUUGGGUUAUUUGAGAUGGCAGAACUAUUUCUUCUUUGCUAGGAGAUCAAACAAGAGAAAUUAUGAACCUGUGCAAUUUCUAUAUAGAAUUAGUAAUUCUCUGCAGUGCAAGCCCAUGCAUGCGAGCAAUCAGAAAUCCAUUCUUGCAUGACUGAUGAGAGAAUAUGCUGUAAAUUGCUUAGUUGAUUUUGUAUUAUUGAGGUAUCUUUGUUGAUGAUACGAACAAAUUGCCACUGUCAAAAUUGUGAAUGAAGAUGAAUAAUUGUUUAUUUGAAAGAAC
rnacentral:misc_RNA from 1 species